CGGAAUUACUGGGCGUAAAGCGAGCGUAGGUGGCUUGAUAAGUCAGAUGUGAAAUCCCCGGGCUUAACCUGGGAACUGCAUCUGAUACUGUCAGGCUAGAAUAGGUGAGAGGAAGGUAGAAUUCCAGGUGUAGCGGUGAAAUGCGUAGAGAUCUGGAGGAAUACCGAUGGCGAAGGCAGCCUUCUGGCAUCAUAUUGACACUGAGGUUCGAAAGCGUGGGUAGCAAACAGGAUUAGAUACCCUGGUAGUCCACGCCGUAAACGAUGUCUACUAGUCGUUGGGUCCCUUGAGGACUUAGUGACGCAGCUAACGCAAUAAGUAGACCGCCUGGGGAGUACGGCCGCAAGGUUAAAACUCAAAUGAAUUGACGGGGGCCCGCACAAGCGGUGGAGCAUGUGGUUUAAUUCGAUGCAACGCGAAGAACCUUACCAUCCCUUGACAUCCAGUGAAUUUUCCAGAGAUGGAUUAGUGCCUUCGGGAACACUGAGACAGGUGCUGCAUGGCUGUCGUCAGCUCGUGUUGUGAGAUGUUGGGUUAAGUCCCGCAACGAGCGCAACCCUUAUCCUUAGUUGCCAGCACGUAAUGGUGGGAACUCUGGGGAGACUGCCGGUGAUAAACCGGAGGAAGGUGGGGACGACGUCAAGUCAUCAUGGCCCUUACGGGAUGGGCUACACACGUGCUACAAUGGCGCGUACAAAGGGCAGCGAACCUGCGAAGGUAAGCGAAUCUCAUAAAGCGCGUCGUAGUCCGGAUUGGAGUCUGCAACUCGACUCCAUGAAGUCGGAAUCGCUAGUAAUCGUGGAUCAGAAUGCCACGGUGAAUACGUUCCCGGGCCUUGUACACACCGCCCGUCACACCAUGGGAGUGGGCUGCACCAGAAGUGGUUAGUUUAACCUUCGGGAGAACGAUCACCACGGUGUGGUUCAUGACUGGGGUGAAGUCGUAACAAGGUAGCCG
rnacentral:rRNA from 1 species